CCGGGCCCGGCCCGGCCCGGCCCGAGCCUGCAGCAGAGCCCUCGAGAGUCAGCGCCAUGGCGGAGCAGACCUACUCGUGGGCCUAUUCCCUGGUGGAUUCCAGUCAAGUGUCUACUUUUCUGAUUUCCAUUCUACUUAUAGUCUAUGGUAGUUUCAGGAAUCACAGACAAAAGAACAGCAGGUUUGAAGUAGAUCUAAAAGGAAAUCAAAAGGAAGAUAUACUUUAUAAUUGAUAAAAAGGUAAUACAUAAAUAUAAUACAGAUGCAUCUCUUUAUGUAAAGUUACUAUAUAAGGGAACAAUGGAACUUUAUUAUAGAGUAACUACUACCUUUUUUUAAGGCAAGCACCUCCCUGUGCUUUCUUUCAUUUCGAGGAUAGUUUAUUUGCUUAUACCCAAACCUACUCUAGGAAGACAGUGCAGAGAUGAUAAGGAAUGUACUUUAUAUGAUUUUUUUACCUUCAUACCAAAUGCAUGUAACUAUAAAGUUAGACCAGGUUAACCAAAAUAAGUCUUAUUAUGGUUCACAAACCAGCUCACCAUGAGCCAUGCUGUGUAGGGCCACCCAAGAUGGACGGGGUGGGGUCAUGGUAGAGAG